UACGUAGGGUGCGAGCGUUGUCCGGAAUUAUUGGGCGUAAAGGGCUCGUAGGCGGUUUGUCACGUCGGGAGUGAAAACUCAGGGCUUAACCCUGAGCCUGCUUUCGAUACGGGCAGACUAGAGGUAUGCAGGGGAGAAUGGAAUUCCUGGUGUAGCGGUGAAAUGCGUAGAUAUCAGGAGGAACACCGAUGGCGAAGGCAGGUCUCUGGGCUGACACUGACGCUCAUGCACGAAAGCGUGGGGAGCAAACAGG
rnacentral:rRNA from 1 species